rnacentral:rRNA from 1 species
GAUGAACGCUGGCGGCGUGCCUAACACAUGCAAGUCGAACGGAGUCGUUUUGGAAAUCUCUUCGGAGAUGGAAUUCUCGACUUAGUGGCGGACGGGUGAGUAACGCGUGAGCAAUCUGCCUUUAAGAGGGGGAUAACAGUCGGAAACGGCUGCUAAUACCGCAUAAAGCAUUAAAUUCGCAUGUUUUUGAUGCCAAAGGAGCAAUCCGCUUUUAGAUGAGCUCGCGUCUGAUUAGCUAGUUGGCGGGGUAACGGCCCACCAAGGCGACGAUCAGUAGCCGGACUGAGAGGUUGAACGGCCACAUUGGGACUGAGACACGGCCCAGACUCCUACGGGAGGCAGCAGUGGGAAAUAUUGCGCAGUGGGGGAAACCCUGACGCAGCAACGCCGCGUGAUUGAAGAAGGCCUUCGGGUUGUAAAGAUCUUUAAUCAGGGACGAAACAAAUGACGGUACCUGAAGAAUAAGCUCCGGCUAAUUACGUG